rnacentral:rRNA from 1 species
GUAUCUUCGGAUAUGAGUAGAGCGGCGGACGGGUGAGUAACGCGUAGGAAUCUACCUAGUAGAAGGGGAUAGCCCGGGGAAACCCGGAUUAAUACCGUAUACCUCCUUCGGGAGAAAGAAGGCCUCUCUUUGAAGCUUUCGCUACUAGAUGAGCCUGCGUAAGAUUAGCUUGUUGGUGAGGUAAAGGCUCACCAAGGCAACGAUCUUUAGCUGGUCUGAGAGGACGAUCAGCCACAUUGGGACUGAGACACGGCCCAGACUCCUACGGGAGGCAGCAGUGGGGAAUAUUGGACAAUGGGCGCAAGCCUGAUCCAGCCAUACCGCGUGUGUGAAGAAGGCCUUCGGGUUGUAAAGCACUUUAAGCAGGGAGAAAAAGUUAUAAGCUAAUACCUUAUAACCUUGAUGUUACCUGCAGAAUAAGCACCGGCUAAUUCCGUGCCAGCAGCCGCGGUAAUACGGAAGGUGCAAGCGUUAAUCGGAAUUACUGGGCGUAAAGCGCGCGUAGGUGGUUUGUUAAGUUGGAUGUGAAAGCCCUGGGCUCAACCUA